GUCAAAGUAAUUUAAUUAAAAUAGUAAAUUGUAAAUUUAAAAAUGAAUAAUUUUCCUUUGUCA
rnacentral:tRNA from 1 species